GUAUGCUUGCUUCGGCCCCACAUAUACUAAGAUUGGAACAAUACAGAGAAGAUUAGCAUGGCCCCUGUACAAGGAUGACACGCAAAUUCUUGAAGCGUUCCAUAUUUUU
ensembl:snRNA U6 U6 spliceosomal RNA